rnacentral:rRNA from 1 species
GAUGAACGCUGGCGGUAUGCCUAACACAUGCAAGUCGAACGGAGUUUUUCUUUAGGGAAAGACUUAGUGGCGGACGGGUGAGUAACACGUGAGAACCUACCUUCAGAAUGGGGACAACAGUUGGAAACGACUGCUAAUACCCAAUGUGCCGAAGGGUGAAAGAUUUAUCGUCUGAAGAUGGGCUCGCGGCUGAUUAGCUAGUUGGUGGUGUAAGAGACUCCCAAGGCAACGAUCAGUAGCUGGUCUGAGGGGAUGAGCAGCCACCCUGGAACUGAGAAACGGUCAAGACUCCAACGGGAGGCAGCAGUGGGGAAUUUUCCGCAAUGGGCGAAAGCCUGACGGAGCAAUACCGCGGGAGGGAGGAAGGUUCUUGGAUUGUAAACCUCUUUCUUAGGGAAGAAGUACUGACGGUACCUAAGGAAUAAGCAUCGGCUAACUCCGUGCCAGCAGCCGCGGUAACAC